rnacentral:rRNA from 1 species
CCCUUAGACGUUCUGGGCCGCACGCGCGCUACACUGACGGAGCCAGCGAGUAUAAACCUUGGCCGAGAGGUCUGGGAAAUCUUGUGAAACUCCGUCGUGCUGGGGAUAGAGCAUUGUAAUUAUUGCUCUUCAACGAGGAAUUCCUAGUAAGCGCAAGUCAUCAGCUUGCGUUGAUUACGUCCCUGCCCUUUGUACACACCGCCCGUCGCUACUACCGAUUGAAUGGCUUAGUGAGGCUUCCGGAUUGGUUUAGAGAAGGGGGCAACUCCAUCUUGGAGCCGAGAAGCUAGUCAAACUUGGUCAUUUAGAGGAAGUAAAAGUCGUAACA